AGCAACCACUAAGCCAUUCCUCAGGAUCGAGUGCCAGUUUUCAAUGUGCGAUCCACUUAAAUACAAAAGAAAAGACAAGCAGAAAUCAAAAUCCUAAUGCACUUGCGAUCUCAGACUACAUGAAGUUGCUUUUGAAGAUUAUCUACAAAUUUCAGCUGGUCUGCAAUGCACUGCUUGUGCACUCAGAGGCAGACCUAUACAAACUGGACUUGCAAAGUAGCUGGCUGGAAAGAGUCUACAGAAAAUGAUUUGGGGAAUUUGAGAAAAUAGCUUUACAAAAAGCCUGGCCAGCAGGAGAGGAUGACUUAGUACAACUUUCAGUACUGGUGUACCAUUAACCCAAAGUUAAAGAAUAAAGGGCGAGCCUCUGGGGCUUAAGGAAGAA